rnacentral:rRNA from 1 species
AUUGAACGCUGGCGGCAGGCCUAACACAUGCAAGUCGAGCGGAGCGGCGGACGGGUGGGUAAUGCCUGGGAAUCUGCCUGGUAGUGGGGGAUAACGUCCGGAAACGGGCGCUAAUAACACAUACUAUCUGAUGAGCCUAGGUCGGAUUAGCGAGGUGGUGGGGUAAAGGCCUACCAAGGCGACGCUCCGUAACAGGCCUGAGUGGAUGAUCGGCCCCACUGGAACUGAGACAGGGUCCAGACUCCUGCGGGAGGCAGCAGUGGGGAAUAGUGGGCAAUGGGCGGAAGCCUUAUCCAGCCAUGCCGCGUGUGUGAAGAAGGUCUUCGGAUUGUAAAGCACUUUAAGUUGGGAGGCGUUACCAACAGAAUAAGCACCGGCUAACUUCGUGCCAGCAGCCGCGGUAAUUC